rnacentral:lncRNA from 1 species
UGUAGUUUAAAAAUGAAGUGAAAUUUGUAGUGGCCUGUAUGUGUUCAGAGUAGUGCUUUCAGCUGGGCCUCAUUAGGCCUCGUCAGGCCACACACCCCAGUUCCUAAGCACAUCCUCCUGGUACCCUCAGCAUAUGUUUUAUUUGAGGCUACAGCAAGCAACAAAGCCAACACUGAACUCAGGCAGGAGUGUGGAAGGGACCUGAGUGUUGCUUUCACUGGGGACCUGAGUCACCGUGGUGGUGGCGGCAGGGACAUCACAUCUGAGCUGUGUUGGGCUGUAUAAACAAUCAUCCUCUUGGCUUACGCUGUAAUUACAUCUCCUUGGACACUCAUUAGUGUGGUGGAUCUGCACUUCAAUAAUAACAAUAACGGUGUGAGAAGAUGUGAUUAAUAAAAGCAAGACCCUUAUGAUGCCAGCAGCUCUUACCCAUUUUUCAUAUGAGAAGAUGUGAGACAUGGGACACAGAAGAUGCAAGUGCAGAUACUUGGUGGUAUGAAUGCUAUGGAACUACGCUGCUCACUCGAUGCUGGGUGAUCUCAGUUAUGAUACCGGUACAUGGGACCCUUCAUGUUCCUUUGUGACGCUCCACUGUUGCUGCAGAUCAAUACUCUACACUGCUAAAAGGUUUGUGAUGCCACAGAGGUCUUCCUGGAGAUAAGAACAAA